rnacentral:lncRNA from 1 species
AAAGAUCAAUCCAAGUCACAUUUGUUCCAGAAUUUGAAGAAUCAAAGACAUGCUUCAAUAAAGACAUAUCACAAAGAUCAUUCUUCUUAUAAAGCAAAUGCAAGUACAAGACUACAAGUAGCAAAGUACACUACUGAUUUGAACUAUUCUAAAGCCUGCACACGUAACAGAAAAGCAUGUACUCAAGGCUGACAUACUGACACAAAUCACAAAAGUACAAGGCUAGUUCAUCACAAACCAGAAGAUCAAUCCUGGAUCGAUCUUUUGAUGCAGCAGAUCAAUCUUGUAUUUGGCAGAAUUUAUCCAACAACUCUUUUAUGACAGCUGGUCCCUUUCCAAC